rnacentral:sRNA from 1 species
GCUAUCCGGAGCCCGCCUAGAUGGCGCC